AUAGAUUGUGCCAAGUAUAUACGCGUAUCGAGGCUAACAAAGGCUAUAUGAUAAUUAUUGGCUCGGUAAAACGACCAUCUGAGUAGCAAAGAUAGGAGAAAUUGCACUACGGUGGAAGAAUUGUUCAUACGUCCAGGAGCAGGUACGUACACCGAUACCGCGUCAGCCACGAUAUACGAAGAUUUAAAACCCAUUCAAGGGCGCCCGCGGAAGAGGUGAACUUCCACCGUCCGGGACUUUCGUCGAAACUUUUCUCGACAACUGUGAAUAAAUGUAAAAUAGUCAACGUCGGUGAGAGUCUUGUGGAAAAGUUUACGCUACAUCGUAGAAUGCGCGCCUAACGGUUAAGAGGCAACAGAUUCCGUCGCAGGUUGCCGCAAUUUGAGGAUCAGCUAAUCUAACAAUAAACAAAAUACGCGCAUGACUUUUUCUCGAAUAAAUUAUCUCGGUACACCCACUUGGAAACGAAAGCAUCUCCCUAAUUCGCGUGGAGCUCCGAUAUCGACCUACGCGAAAACGUCAGCGUGACUGAUAUAAAAAUUUCGAGUGAAAUUUAAAUGAUCAGAUCGAUCUGAGAGAAUAUUGACACGAUC